AUUCGAAAGAUUCAAAAGCUGAUUUCCCUUAUUGCUUCUGUUAGCUAGAUGCAUACACCUGAAAUCCACAAGAAAAGAGAUAUAGAACUAUUAAUAAACAAAAAAAAACUUGUCUAUAUUCGACACCUGAUCUAAUGGUGAAUCAAGAGUCCCCAACAACUAUGCCAAAUUUUAUAUGAUUAUAUUAACCCUAAUGAGCAACUGUACAAUUUUAGAGGUGCAUUGUAGUACUUGGGGAUCAUAUUCACAUAGACUCAGAUCACACAAUAGACUUCUGAUUUUCGAAUUAAGCUAGACAGCAGUAGUUUCAAUGCAAUAGAAUGGUAAAUAAAGAUGUUGUAAUCGAAGGAGAAGUGCGCUAGACUCAGGAUAACUCACAGGUAAAUCGGAAUUGCAGAUCAAACAAUUGCUAAAGGUUUAUGAAGAACAGUUCUAGAACUCAAAGCGCUAUAAUCUAAUAUAAUCAAUUUUCGUUGCAGAGAUAAUCUAUGUCUAGAUUCUAGAAUUCCAAAUCUUUUGUGAUUCCAAUCAGUUAAGACAAACAUUAAGAUCAGAUUUGAUACGUUCACUAAAUCGCUAAACCAAAUCUAAUUCAGUCUGAUUGAUUGAACUACAUCUAAGAUUAGUUCAAUCAAUCAGUAAUGCUUUUGCAUCUACCAAUUAUCCUAAGAUCUUGAUUUCAGGUUGUGAAUCCAAAUCUAGCAUUAAGAACAAUCCAAAUGAAGAAUAUACGAUAAUCCUACAAAUUCAAUCUAACAAUUCAUCAUUCCUUUGAAGAACCCUGAAUCUAACAUGAUCGAUGAAAUAUAAAUCAUAAUCUGAAUAAAUUGCGUUAAAGAUCAAAAGAGUAGGUAAAUGAGUUCAAAAUCUUCUCUCUAAUUUUUUUUUGACUUGUCUAUCCAAUGCUCUCUAAAGUAAAAUAAAGUUUAGCCUAAAUAAUUUCUUUAGAAUAGUUAAUAUAGGUUAAAAGACGAAUCUGACCUCUUUUUAAAUAAGGGAAACGUUUGGGAAAACUGCAGUUCUUGAAACUUCGUUAAAACACGUCAAUUUCUUUGUAAGUGAUGGGUGUCAGCCGACAUCAUUGGUGGGUGUUGAUCGACACUAGGUCCAAUGUUCGACUCCGGCUUGGUAUUUUCAGCAUCAAUUCUCUCCAAACUUCAAAGUUCUC
rnacentral:lncRNA from 1 species